UACGUAGGGUGCAAGCGUUGUCCGGAAUUAUUGGGCGUAAAGAGCUCGUAGGCGGUUUUGUCGCGUCUGCUGUGAAAACCCGAGGCUCAACCUCGGGCCUGCAGUGGGUACGGGGCAGACUAGAGUGCGGUAGGGGGAGAUUGGAAUUCCUGGUGUAGCGGUGGAAUGCGCAGAUAUCAGGAGGAACACCGGUGGCGAAGGCGGGUCUCUGGGCCGAUACUGACACUGGAGGAGCGAAAGCGUGGGGAGCGAACAGG
rnacentral:rRNA from 1 species